UCAGUCGACUCCUACGGGGAGGCAGCAGUGGGGAAUAUUGCACAAUGGGGGGAAACCCUGAUGCAGCCAUGCCGCGUGUGUGAAGAAGGCCUUCGGGUUGUAAAGCACUUUCAGUAGGGAGGAAGGUAGUGCAGUUAACACCUGCAUUAUUUGACGUUACCUACAGAAGAAGCACCGGCUAACUCCGUGCCAGCAGCCGCGGUAAUACGGAGGGUGCGAGCGUUAAUCGGAAUUACUGGGCGUAAAGCGCAUGCAGGCGGCCUGUUAAGUCAGAUGUGAAAGCCCGGGGCUUAACCUCGGAAUUGCAUUUGAAACUGGCAGGCUAGAGUCUUGUAGAGGGGGGUAGGAAUUUCAGGUGUAGCGGUGAAAUGCGUAGAGAUCUGAAGGAAUACCAGUGGCGAAGGCGGCCCCCUGGACAAAGACUGACGCUCAGAUGCGAAAGCGUGGGGAGCAAACAGGAUUAGAUACCCUGGUAG
rnacentral:rRNA from 1 species